AGAGUUUGAUCCUGGCUCAGGAUGAACGCUAGCUACAGGCUUAACACGUGCAAGUCGAGGGGAAACGACAUCGAAAGCUUGCUUUUGAUGGGCGUCGACCGGCGCACGGGUGAGUAACGCGUAUCCAACCUGCCCACCACUUGGGGAUAACCUUGCGAAAGUAAGACUAAUACCCAAUGACGUCUCUAGAAGACAUCUGAAGGAGAUUAAAGAUUUAUCGGUGAUGGAUGGGGAUGCGUCUGGAUUAGCUUGUUGGCGGGGUAACGGCCCACAAGGCGACGAUCAGUAGGGGUUCUGAGAGGAAGGUCCCCCANAUUGGAACUGAGACACGGUCCAAACUCCUACGGGAGGCA
rnacentral:rRNA from 1 species